UAAGGCGUUGAGCUAACCAGUACUAAUGGCUCGUGAGGCUUGACCAUAUAACGCCCAAGGCGUUUGG
rnacentral:rRNA from 1 species